UGGAAAGUAAAAAAUCGUAACAAGGUUU
rnacentral:rRNA from 1 species